AACGCGAAGAACCUUACCUGGAUUUGACAUCCCGUUGAAUAUUUUUAGAGAUAGAAGUAGUCUCGCAAGAGACAGCGGAGACAGGUGCUGCAUGGCUGUCGUCAGCUCGUGUUGUGAAAUGUUGGGUUAAGUCCCGCAACGAGCGCAACCCCUGCUUUUGGUUGCCAUCAUUAAGUUGGGCACUCCAGAAGGACUGCCGUCGUUAAGACGGAGGAAGGUGGGGAUGACGUCAAGUCCUCAUGGCCUUUAUAUCCAGGGCGACACACGUGAUACAAUGGUAGGUACAAAGGGUAGCGAAGUGGUGACAUGAAGCCAAUCUCAAAAAACCUAUCUCAGUUCGGAUUGGAGUCUGCAACUCGACUCCAUGAAGUUGGAAUCGCUAGUAAUCGCGGAUCAGAACGCCGCGGUGAAUACGUUCCCGGGCCUUGUACACACCGAUACUC
rnacentral:rRNA from 1 species